rnacentral:rRNA from 1 species
UACGUAGGGUGCAAGCGUUGUCCGGAAUUAUUGGGCGUAAAGCGCUCGCAGGUGGUCCGCUGCGUCGUGCGUGAAAGACCCCGGCUCAACUGGGGGAUGUCGUGCGAUACGGGCGGACUGGAGGCCAGUAGGGGGAUGCGGAAUUCCGGGUGUAGUGGUGGAAUGCGUAGAGAUCCGGAGGAACACCAGCGGCGAAGGCGGCAUCCUGGACUGGUCCUGACACUCAGGAGCGAAAGCGUGGGGAGCGAUCCGG